rnacentral:lncRNA from 1 species
UUGAACGUUUGAUCCAAGAGGGGAGGCUGGAUCGAUUCAUCUGACGACAAGGUUCUCCAUGUCGAUAUCCUCUAAGGGCCAGGCAACUGUAGCGGAGACGUCCUGUGCUUCAGCAGCAAUAGCACCAAUCCUUUCAGACUCAACCUCAACCGGCACCAAUGCAAUCGUAGGCAAAGGGGCAGGCGAUAGUAGAAGAUUGACCUCUACGGGGUGAAAUUCAUAUGAUAACCGAGGGGUCAUCUAGAUCGGAGAAGCCACAUGCGGUGA